GAACAAAGUUGGCCACCGUAAAUAUUUCCAGAGUUCAAAGUGAACACAAGGAAGCAACUUUCAAUGAAAUAUGUUCUCUUCAUGAAGCAAAAUUACGUGAAUAACAGUCGUUUUCCCAGAAGAAAAAUUGACUGAGAGCCAUUAAAUGCAAAAACACCACCUGAAGCUCAAGGAGCUCCUUAGCUUCAGACUGAUGCAAGCUGAAUGAUUUUCCUGGCAGCUCACCCAUCAUCUUCCCAGAAAAACAUCUGCAACCUGCUGAGCCCAAGGCUGUAGGAUCUGAAACCCUUUUCACAGUGUCUGGAUUGGUUGAGGGGCUGGAGAGGACGCCUGUGCAGCUCAAAGGUUCUCUGCCUUGUUGAGCAGAGGUAAGUGUUCAAAAAACUUGCACUCCCUUUCUGCUUUUCAGCUGUAAAUUAAAGAAUUUGAAAUAGGCGGAGCUCCUGUCUUACCAAGCUUUUUUCCUGGCUCAGCCACCUUUCUCCUCUAAAUACAGCUGCUCUAAGUGCUGCUUGGAACAAAGUGGUCUUCAAUUAUGCAGCUUCUUCUAACACAAGCAAGGUAGGAGAUGAAUUAUAUGGGACAACAAAAAGGCAAUUCCUUAGUUGAGGAAGAUUCAGUCUGGCAUGUAUCAAAGGUGGCAAAGUUAAUGAGAGCAUUGCCAAGAAGAGCUGCUUUACAUAGUAUCUGUUAAGCAGCCAAAGCAUGCUCACUCCUCCCUCCUUUUGCCAGGAUUCUGUUUUGUGAAAGAAAUUUUACAGGAGUUCCAUACACCCACAAGAACAGUCAGAAUCUGCAUUUCAGGCAGUUUGGGUAGGAAAUAAAUCUUAUGAUUAUGUCAUAGAUACUUGUGUAAAUCAGGUAAGAUGUAAAAUCUUGCUGCAUUAUUAUUAAGAAAUGUAAUUUUCAUGAGCAAAGAACAAUUGAAAACAGAAAUAAUUGCUGGUCUUCCAGAUUUGGUACUUCCUUCUCUGCAUACUACUGACUGCCUAAGUGAAAGAAUAUAUAUGACAGGGUGGUUACAGAGUCUGCAUCAGCUGAUGAUGAAGAGAAUGGGCCAAUAUUCAGGUUAGCUGUGAAGUUUCUUGCUCUGACCUCAGCGCCAGAUGUGGCAGUUCCCCUCUCGUGACCACUUUUGGUAGGUCUGGACGGGUAGCUCUUAGCACUGUGCUAGUCCCAUGAAGCACACUUGGUUGCAGCUUACCAAAAUAGCCUGAACACUAUGAAAGGCAGAUAAGGAUGAGCCUAGAGAAAGGAAUCCAGAAUGCACUUUCUUAGAGGUCCUGCACAUUGGUGAUGAACUACAUUGUGGGUGCAACAGUGAUUGCAUGUUAGAAGUGUUGCCACUGACUUUGUGUAUGCACAUCAGAACAUGAGAUGGCUGCGUGGUAUUUAGGAGACCAAUAAAUUGAUCCCAUUUUACA
rnacentral:lncRNA from 1 species